rnacentral:rRNA from 1 species
AGAGUUUGAUCCUGGCUCAGAACGAACGCUGGCGGCGUGGCUAAGACAUGCAAGUCGUACGGAAUUUUGUUUUGAGUAAUCGAGACGGAAUUUAGUGGCGAAAGGGUGAGUAAUGCAUAGGUAACGUACCCCGGACAUCGGGAUAGCGGCGGCCUUCGGGCCUUUAGCGAAAGUGCCGGUAAUACCGGAUGAUAUCCUGAUAUCGCAUGGUAUUUGGAUCAAAGGUUUCGGCUGGUCUGGGAGCGGCCUAUGUCGUAUCAGCUUGUUGGUGAGGUAACGGCUUACCAAGGCAUCGACGCGUAGCGGGAUCGAGAGGUUGAUCCGCCACAUCGGGGCUGAGACACUGCCCGGACCCCCACGGGGGGCUGCAGUAACGAAUAUUGCGCAAUGGACGAAAGUCUGACGCGGCGACGCCGCGUGCAGGAUGAAGCCCUUCGGGGUGUAAACUGCUGUCAGGGCUAAGAAAUAUGCGCUUCGGCGCAUUUGAUCAGGCCCAAAGGAAGGACCGGCUAAAUUCGUGCCAGCAGCCGCGGUAAUACGAAUGGUCCUAGCGUUGUUCGGAAUUAUUGGGCUUAAAGAGCACGUAGGCGGGAAUUUAAGUGUCCUGUGAAAUCCCUCGGCUUAACCGAGGAACUGCGGGACAUACUGGAUUCCUUGAGGCAAGUAGGGGUGUGUGGAACUCCAGGUGGAGCGGUGAAAUGCGUAGAUAUCUGGAGGAACGCCAGCAGAGAAGUCGGCACACCGGGCUUGUUCUGACGCUGAGGUGCGAAAGCGUGGGGAGCGAAGAGGAUUAGAUACCCUCGUAGUCCACGCCGUAAACCAUGUCUACUAGGUUGUGGAGGCUCUGACGCCUUCGCAGCCGGAGCGAAAGUAUUAAGUAGACCGCCUGGGGAGUACGGUCGCAAGGCUAAAACUCAAAGGAAUUGACGGGGGCUCACACAAGCGGUGGAGCAUGUGGCUUAAUUCGAAUCAACGCGAAGAACCUUAUCCUGGGUUUGACAUGCAUGGAUGCCCAUCCUGAAAGGGAGUAGGCUGCCUUCGGGUGAAACAUGCACAGGUGCUGCAUGGCUGUCGUCAGCUCGUGUCGUGAGAUGUUGGGGUUAAGUCCCUUAACGAGCGAAACCCUUAUCGUUAGUUACCAGCGCGUAAUGGCGGGAACUCUAGCGAGACUGCCGGUGUCAAACCGGAGGAAGGUGGGGAUGACGUCAAGUCCUCAUGGCCUUUAUGCCCAGGGCUGCACACGUGCUACAGUGGCGGCAACAAACCGAAGCAAUACCGUGAGGUGGAGCAAAUCGGAAAAAUGUCGCCCCAGUUCGGAUUGUAGGCUGCAACUCGCCUGCAUGAAGUCGGAAUCGCUAGUAAUCGCAGAUCAACUACGCUGCGGUGAAUAUGUUCCUGAGCCUUGUACACACCGCCCGUCAAGUCACGGAAGCUGGGAGUACCUGAAGUCGGGUAGCUAACCUUCACGGGACGCGCCUGCCGAUGGUAAGCCUGGUAACUGGGGCUAAGUCGUAACAAAGUA